ACGAACGCUGGCGGCGUGCCUAAUACAUGCAAGUAGAACGCUGAAGGAGGAGCUUGCUCUUCUGGAUGAGUUGCGAACGGGUGAGUAACGCGUAGGUAACCUGCCUGGUAGCGGGGGAUAACUAUUGGAAACGAUAGCUAAUACCGCAUAACAGUAGAUGUUGCAUGACAUUUACUUAAAAGGUGCAAUUGCAUCACUACCAGAUGGACCUGCGUUGUAUUAGCUAGUUGGUGGGGUAACGGCUCACCAAGGCGACGAUACAUAGCCGACCUGAGAGGGUGAUCGGCCACACUGGGACUGAGACACGGCCCAGACUCCUACGGGAGGCAGCAGUAGGGAAUCUUCGGCAAUGGACGGAAGCCUGACCGAGCAACGCCGCGUGAGUGAAGAAGGUUUUCGGAUCGUAAAGCUCUGUUGUAAGAGAAGAACGAGUGUGAGAGUGGAAAGUUCACACUGUGACGGUAUCUUACCAGAAAGGGACGGCUAACUACGUG
rnacentral:rRNA from 1 species